rnacentral:rRNA from 1 species
CAGCAGCCGCGGGAAUACAGAGGGUGCGAGCGUUAAUCGGAUUUACUGGGCGUAAAGCGCACGCAGGCGGUCUGUCAAGUCAGAUGUGAAAUCCCCGGGCUUAACCUGGGAACUGCAUUUGAAACUGGCAGGCUAGAGUCUUGUAGAGGGGGGUAGAAUUCCAGGUGUAGCGGUGAAAUGCGUAGAGAUCUGGAGGAAUACCGGUGGCGAAGGCGGCCCCCUGGACAAAGACUGACGCUCAGGUGCGAAAGCGUGGGGAGCAAACAGGAUUAGAUACCCCAGUAGUCCCUGUCUCUUAUAC